GUUCAAGUGAUGCUACCUUCGC
rnacentral:piRNA from 1 species